UCUAAUAGUUCAUGAUAAAUGGUUCAUUUAGAGUUAAGUUGAUAACACAAGCGGGCAAAAUCGGCAAUCGGGUAAAGUUGAAGAACUGGUAGUUAAUUCAAGUGAAACAGCUCACCCUGGUGGCCGGGCUGUGGGGAACAGCAACCUUCUUGAUGACCGUCAGGAAACCAGGAGCAGAUGCAGCGACUUUGUAGUUCCCUGGAGCCAGAAGGCGCCAGUAAUCUCCGUCUUUAGCUGUAGGACACAGGAGAGUUCAGAUGAAGUCCUCGUUGUGUCCACCAGGUAGAGCCACAGCACCAUGUUAUUGUUCAGUACCUGUGGUCAGAUCAUGCUCAAUUCCCUCCACAGAAAUGGUGGCAUUGGAGAUGGCGUUACCCUGCAUGUCUCUCACGAAACCUUUGACGCCACGGUGCACCUGCGAGGACAUUUGAGUCAGACGAAGGAGCAGAGUUCAAACAGAACACACACCGAAGACUCCGCUUUCUUCUUGUCGUGUUCGGAGCACAGGUCACCGUGAGCAGAUGAAAUCGCGCGACAGCACCAUCUACUGGACGUAAGGAUGUGUGUGCGGACACUCGCUCCACGAAGACGGAAGGACACCCAGGCCCAGAGGAAGAAGACGUGGUUACAGAAGAUCAUGAUGCCGAUGAAGAAUCCGGCCCCCAGGAUGAUGGUCUCAGCAGGGUGCGCGUACUCUGCCUGCAUGCCGAAGGGAGCCUGGUGAAAAGGAAGCGGUGUUAAUGAGUAACUGAGGGAUGAUCCUGCGGUGAUGCAGCAGCCGAUGGAGGAAGUAGUGCCAGGUGUCUUCGAUGACGGCACAGCCGAAGCACCGAGCCAGCAGGUACGUCCUGAGGGGAAGACAACGUCUCAUCUGCUUCCUUCCACUCAAUAUACGAGCAGGUAGAAAAUACUGACCAGCGGGGCAUGGAGUCCCAGUCGUACGGGAUGUUGAAGAACUCGGUGAAGUAGUAGGUCCCGCAGAUCAGUGGGAGCUGGAUGCAGAAGUGGUUGAAGAGAAGCAUCUUGAAGCAUCGCCACUGCUUCUCCCAGGUCUCAGGCUUGUCCUGCACACAAGCACAAAGGUUCUCUGUGGCCCUUGUGAAAUGCGCAGCCAAAAGACUGAAGAUGAAUCGGGAUGUAGAUGAACAUGGCUUGGUGCUGCCGCGGGAGCCAUUGGAACCCGGAUCUUAAAGAUUCAGCCAGUAGAUUCAAUCCACUCUGACACUUGAAAGAAUUUUCUUUAUCUUUUUUCUAUCAAAAUAAUACAUGCAUACAAUCAAACUACACCAUUUGAAUGUAAUUGUUCAGGAUGCCUUGAUGGCAAAUAAUAAUAGUUAUUAUUAUAUAUGUAGCAGUAGAUUAAAAUCAGACAAUUCUGAAUUACAUAGUUCUUAAUAUAACGUACAAUGAAAUGCAGUUAAUUAAGUUGUUAGUACUAAUAAUAGAGUAAAAACAUCCCACUAUAAACUCCAACAUUCAAAUGCAUGUUAUUUAUCAAUUCUACAAAACAUUUCAGACUAAAUUUGUACAACUAAUUAUCCCAAAAUUAAUGAAUACAUUUUCAACUAUUAUUCUAAUAGA